AUGAAAUUAUCAAUUGGCCCGAGGUAUAUUAAUGUUCUUGUGCGAAAUAAUCCUUGUGAUGAUUGGUGGAGGGGUACCUUGGUGUAUGGAGAACCGAAAGCCCAUGAAAGACACCACAUGUGGGAUUUGCUUGCAAGAAUAAAACCGAACGCAUGGGAGCCAUGGUUUAUGAUUGGCGAUUUCAAUGAAACAAUGUGGCAAAGCGAACACUUUUCUUCAGCCAAGAGAUCUGAAAACAAUAUGGCUAAUUUCCUUGACAUUCUCUGGGCGUGUGACUUGCAUGGUUUAGGUUUCCGCGGACCGAGUUGGACUUAUGAUAAUAAACAAUCUGGGAGCAACAAAGUAAGAGACAGAAUUGACCGAGGGGUAGCUUCUCCAGAAUGGAGCAAACGGCUUCCCAACGCUAGCAUCCAACAUGUAGUCUCAACUAGAUCAGAUCAUUUCUCACUCUUGCUGCAACUUGGUAAACAUACUGUAUACAGAAGGAAGAAAAUAUUCAGAUAUGAAGUUAUGUGGGAGAGAGGAAUCCCUUGCGGCCACGGUGAACAAUGGCUGGAAUCAGGCGGACAAGGCCACGACGUUGGAACCAGUACAGGCCAAGCUGGGCGCCAUGCAACGCAACCUCAGUAG
rnacentral:rRNA from 1 species